UCAUAGUGAUCCGGUGGUUCUGAAUGGAAGGGCCAUCGCUCAACGGAUAAAAGGUACUCCGGGGAUAACAGGCUGAUACCGCCCAAGAGUUCAUAUCGACGGCGGUGUUUGGCACCUCGAUGUCGGCUCAUCACAUCCUGGGGCUGAAGUAGGUCCCAAGGGUAUGGCUGUUCGCCAUUUAAAGUGGUACGCGAGCUGGGUUUAGAACGUCGUGAGACAGUUCGGUCCCUAUCUGCCGUGGGCGCUGGAGAACUGAGGGGGGCUGCUCCUAGUACGAGAGGACCGGAGUGGACGCAUCACUGGUGUUCGGGUUGUCAUGCCAAUGGCACUGCCCGGUAGCUAAAUGCGGAAGAGAUAAGUGCUGAAAGCAUCUAAGCACGAAACUUGCCCCGAGAUGA
rnacentral:rRNA from 1 species